GAUGAACGCUAGCGGCAGGCUUAAUACAUGCAAGUUGAGGGGCAGCAUGAUAUACGCGGGUAUAUUGAUGGCGACCGGCGGACGGGUGAGUAAUAGGUAGGAGACCUACCUCAUACAGGGGGAUAGCAUAGAGAAAUCUGUGGUAAUACCCCAUGAGGUUAUAUGAAUAGAGGCAUAUAAUCAAAGCAUAAGCGAUUAUGCGGUAUGAGAGGGGCCUACUGACCAUUAGCUAGUUGGUGAGGUAAGGGCUCACCAAGGCGAAGAUGGUUAGGGGUUUUGAGAGAGAGACCCCCCACAUUGGAACUGAGAGACGGUCCAGACUCCUACGGGAGGCAGCAGUAGGGAAUAUUGGGCAAUGGGCGAAAGCCUGACCCAGCCAUGCCGCGUGAAGGAAGACGGCCUUAUGGGUUGUAAACUUCUUUACUACGCGAAUAGAGGUUAGUACGAGAUACUAAUAGGAAGGUAGUGUAGUAAAAGCACGGCUAACUCCGUGCC
rnacentral:rRNA from 1 species